GCCCACCUGCCUCUGUCUGAUAUGUUUGAUAUUAGGUUGUUUUAUUGGAAAGCCAACUAAAUAUCAAACAUAUUCUUACAGCGCCAGGGCCCCUC
rnacentral:pre_miRNA from 2 species